rnacentral:rRNA from 1 species
GACGAACGCUGGCGGCGUGCUUAACACAUGCAAGUCGAACGGUAAGGCCCUUCGGGGUACACGAAUGGCGAACGGGUGAGUAACACGGGGGUGAUCUGCCAUGCACUUUGGGAUAGGCCUGGGAAACUGGGUCUAAUAACGGACAGGACCAUGCGCUGCACGGUGUGUGGUGGAGAGAUUUUGCGUUGUGGGAUGGGCCCGCGGCCUAUCAGCUGGUGGGUGGGGUAAUGGCCUACCAAGGCGACGACGAGUAGCCGGCCUGAGGGGGUGACCGGCCACACUGGGAGUGAGAUACGGCCCAGACUCCUACGGGAGGCAGCAGUGGGGAAUAUUGCACAAUGGGCGCAAGCCUGAUGCAGCGACGCCGCGUGAGGGAUGACGGCCUUCGGGUUGUAAACCUCUUUCAGUAGGGACGAAGCGCAAGCGACAGUACCUACAGAAGAAGGACCGGCCAACUACGUGCCAGCCGCCGCCGUAA